CAGGCGGCAGAGGAGGGACCGGCCGGAGGGGGUGCCCAGCUUCCUACCCGCUAGAUGUGGACUGGGGAGCUGCGGUUUGUUCUUGUGAAUACAGAUUCCCAGGCACCGCCUGACUCGCGGAUCCAUGGGUGUCUCGAGCGGCCUCGUUGUGAGCUUGUACCAAAGGUAGACAGUACGUUUUGAUCCCAGGGAGACUUUCCGUUGUGGUGUUUCAUCAUGUUUAUUGCCAUUUAAUUAAGGACACUUGGUGGGACUGUGUUUUGCACACCCUUUGAAGACAGGUGUGGUCUCGAGACAUGCCUCCGCUGAGCAGCAGAGCUUCGGGACUCAAUGCUAGAUUCACCACAGGCCCUUUCCUCUACCUCAGGGAGCGGAGAGGGUGUUGAGAUGAAGGCUCCACCAGCCUAGACCCCUGAGUCACCGCAGGGAACAUGUGCCCACCCCAACCCUUGCCAGACUUGCUGCCUGCGUGAGAAAUAAACUUUGUUGUGUGAAA